CAAGGUUCCAUACACUGAAAUCCUGCUGCUGAAAUGAAGUCCCAGAUAGGUCAUACCACUACUGCUGCUAUCCUCAUACUACUGAAUUAGACUGCUGGUGUAUCCCUGAAGUGUUUGGGAGUGGAUUGAGCUGCCUCUGCUAACCUGUGAACUGACCUGCCAAUUUCCAGACAACACAAAUGGGAGUUGCUCCGAAGAACCUUUCUAAACAGGUCCACUUUCUCCCCCCACCCCGUAUCCUUUCUUUUCCACUACCUCUGGUGGGUCAUGGGUAAAAAGGGAGGUUAAAGAAUUUAAGAACCAUCAGUUAAAAUAGGCUUUGACAGGGCUGGAGAGAUGUCUCAGCGGUUAAGAGCACUGACUGUUCUUCUGAAGGUCCUGAGUUCAAAUCCCAGCAACCACAUGGUGGCUUACAACCAUCUGUAAUGAGAUCUGAUGCCCUCUACUGGUGUAUCUGAAGACAGCUACAGUGUACUUACAUAUAAAUAAUAAAUAAAUAU
rnacentral:lncRNA from 1 species